rnacentral:lncRNA from 1 species
UCAUUGAGCCAGUUUAAAUGGUGGGGUCAAAUUAUCAAAUUAAACUAGUAACAUAAAAGGUCAGGUGAUCUGUACUGAGUAUCUCUCUUCACCCAGAGGCUAGACCAGACAGACUGAACAGACGCAUGCUAAUCAUUGGCUUUUACUCCAUUGUAGAAAACAUUCUCCAGCCCCAGGCUGACCGUAACGUUCAUGUGAGGUUGGAGACUUUGAGAGACUACUCGGAGAAUCUGGGUGUCGUUCAGCCAAGACUUGACCACUGUGGGAUAAGAACAGCCCAGGUCCCAAAGGCACCAGAAGCACACACAGCCGGGUGCAAGGUGUCUAUUGUAUCUGUAGCAGAAUGGCAUGUCCUGGAUAAAACUUGGACCUCACACUUCCUCAGAUCCCAUCAGCUUCUUCACCCUGAAACUCCCACAGUGGACCGCCUACCCCCACCCCAAGAAGACCCAGAGAACUGUCACAGUGUUGUGGGCUCCCAUUCCCAUACUACAUGGGUGGCACAGGCCAAUUCUUUUGCUUCUCCUGCAGUGCUUAAUUAUACACAGACUGAAGAGCUAGGGAUCGGAGGAGUAGAGAUACCCAGAAGGCCCAUUUUCAAUAGCUAGGGUCUGAAAAGACGUCCAGGACAUGAUUACCACAUGGCCCUGGUUGUCUGACUCAUAGAGUACACUUUGUGGAAUGUUGACUUAGUAAAGAAAAUUAAAAAAUAAAAAUAAAAACCAUUGGAUUUCUCAGGGAUUGAAGAUUAAACAAAGUAAUAAA